UGAGCAACCUGCCCUUAGCUUUGGGAUAACCCUCGGAAACGGGGGCUAAUACCGAAUGUUCACUGCCGGGCGCAUGUUUGGUGGUGGAAAGUUUUUCGGCUGGGGAUGGGCUCGCGGCCUAUCAGCUUGUUGGUGGGGUGAUGGCCUACCAAGGCGAUGACGGGUAGCCGGCCUGAGAGGGCGACCGGCCACACUGGGACUAAGACACGGCCCAGACUCCUACGGGAGGCA
rnacentral:rRNA from 1 species